rnacentral:lncRNA from 1 species
GGACCCUGGGUCUCUAGCAGAGAGCAGAGAAGAAGCAUAGUUGGGAAAUCCUAUCAAAUGUGCAGCAGUGCUGAGAUGCCGGGGCCUAGGCGUUCCCUAGGCUUUGCAGCUCUGAAGUGGUCUGCUUCCAAACGCAGCCAGAAUCCUGUCAUGCUUCCCUUGGUCCUACAAUGCGGUGGCCUGGAAAUCUGGGGAAAGAACGCGGCACCUUCGUGCCUGGAGCUUGUGUUUAGUCUCCAAGGCCUGCAGGGGAAACAGCGACAGAUGGGACACUCAGAGACACAGGCAGACCAAAGGAGCCUAGAAUUCCCGACAGACACAGGACAAGACAGGUAAAAGCCAAAGCCAGAGACACUUCCGAGGUCACUUCCGAGUGCCUCCUUAUGUUCCUGGCCUCAUCACCCUGAAGUCCCUGAUGUCCCCUCGUGAAGGCCAGAUGAAAUGGCUGCGGACACCUCCACAUCCCACCCGGUCCGUCUCUUCCUGGUCUCUUCCAUGUGGAGAUGUGCGGGCGCCUGCGUGCACGGCCACCCUGUCACUGAAGAAAG